rnacentral:rRNA from 1 species
CCUACGGGGGGCAGCAGUGGGGAAUAUUGGGCAAUGGGCGCAAGCCUGACCCAGCAACGCCGCGUGAAGGAAGAAGGCUUUCGGGUUGUAAACUUCUUUUCUGAGGGACGAAGAAAGUGAAGGUACCUCAGGAAUAAGCCACGGCUAACUACGUGCCAGCAGCAGCGGUAAUAAGUAGGUGGCAAGCGUUAUGCGGUUUUAGUGGGUGUAAAGGGCGUGUAGGCGGGAAAUCAAGUCAGAUGUGAAAACUCAGGGCUCAACCCUGAGCCUGCAUUUGAAACUGUUUUUCGUGAGUGCUGGAGAGGCAAGCGGAAGUCCGGGUGUAGCGGUGAAAUGCGUAGAUAUACGGAGGAACACCAGUGGCGAAGGUGGAUUGCUGGACAGUAACUGACGCUGAGGCGCGAAAGCGUGGGGAGCAAACAGGAUUAGAUACCCCGGUAGUC